rnacentral:rRNA from 1 species
AGCGACGCCGCGUGCGGGAUGAAGGCCUUCGGGUUGUAAACCGCUUUCAGUAGGGAAGAAGCGAAAGUGACGGUACCUACAAAAGAAGCACCGGCUAACUAUGUGCCAGCAGCCGCGGUAAUACAUAGGGUGCAAGCGUUGUCCGGAAUUAUUGGGCGUAAAGAGCUCGUAGGUCGUUUGUUACGUCGGAUGUGAAAACCUGAGGCUCAACCUCAGGCCUGCAUUCGAUACGGGCAAACUAGAGUUUGGUAGGGGAGACUGGAAUUCCUGGUGUAGCGGUGGAAUGCGCAGAUAUCAGGAGGAACACCAAUGGCGAAGGCAGGUCUCUGGGCCAAUACUGACACUGAGGAGCGAAAGUCUGGGGAGCGAACAGGAUUAGAUACCCUGGUAGUCCAGACCGUAAACGGUGGGCACUAGUUGUGGGAACCUUCCACGGUUUCUGCGACGCAGCUAACGCAUUAAGUGCCCCGCCUGGGGAGUACGAUCGCAAGAUUAAAACUCAAAGGAAUUGACGG